rnacentral:tRNA from 1 species
GGUCCAUUCGUCUAGGGGUUAGGACGUCAGGUUUUCAUCCUGGUAACAGGGGUUCGAAUCCCCUAUGGACUA